rnacentral:lncRNA from 1 species
GUUUAAAGCCAGUGUCUUGGAAUUGCUGACGUGCUUGGGUGUUUCCUUGCCCCCAUGCACAGUGACUUCAGUGAGCAGGUGCAGGGCCCUCUGGGGAUGGUGUGGAAGUGGAUUUAUGGUAUUACUUGCGGCAAUGCUUCAGGGUCCUUCCUCAGGAGACCCCCCCCACCACCACAGGGUGCUGGGGAGUGGGACCGACUGGAGGAGGUCUGCAGGAAGCAGCGCACGGGUGGCGGGGAAACUCACUGAAGAGCCUCGGGCAUGCCCAGCGCCGGCAGCUGCAGCACAGGAGGAGGAAAGCGUGCUGGAGCCAGAGAGGGAAGCCCCCUCCUCUGCUGGGCCUGGUGGUGUCGCCCCAAUGCUCUACUGACGAAGCCACCAUUGGGCUGGCAAAGAGAGAUGUGUGCAGGGUCUGGCUCCAUCAUCACAAGCCAGCUGAAGAAGGUGAGUCCCCGGAGGGCCUUUACUUAGUGAUGUUCCGUGACUUCUGAGACCAGGUCAUCAAAGGUGACACUUGGGAUGUCUUUUGGGAUGCUCGCUCUUGGAACUCAGCGAUCAAGUCAGAGGAGCCAGGCAGCCCCUGGGGAGGCCUGCAUGGAGAGGAGCUGCCAGCCAGCACCACCUGCCCCCAUCUGAUGCUGUCGAGAAGGAGAAACUGACAGCAUGCCACAAGUGUCGCCUGGAAAUCAGUUAGCUCAGGAGCUGACAACAGGCUGUACUUUAACCAUUCUCUCUGCUGCCCCACUCUGACCGCAAGGCUGGGCCACCUCCCGGGAUGGCUGGGCUCACGAGGAGCCUCCUCCCCCUCGCUGGGCUGGGUGUCCCACCCUCUCCAGGGAGAAGGCAGCUGGUGGCUCCAAUUCCUGGCAAAGCUCUGGCGUCAAGCUCGCAGGCCGCUCCCCAGGAAGGAAGGAAUGUGAUUAAAAAGAGCUUCCUGUCCCGAGACUGGACUCGCCAUUGCACACAGGCCCGCACACACGUGCACUCCGUGUCCCACAUGGACAAGUGGCGGCUGGGCCAUGACCCCCAGGUGAACACGUCUUUGCUGCAGAAUUUGGGGAGCUUCCCACGUGCUGGAACGCGUCGUCAGCACUGAGCUGGGGACUGGAUGCUUCUCACGUGGUCCUGUGCCAGAAACUCCUGCCCUGGGAGAGACCUUCAAGCCUCGGCAGCCCUGUGUGGUGGUUCCAGGUGACCCGCUGAGCAGAGCCCCGCUGAGCCGAGCCCCACCGAGCAGGACGACCCCACGAGACGCCACCUCCCCAAGGAAGCUCCCAUCCCUUCUCUCCUUGGCUGGACAGCUGUCCCCACACACUUGUCCCCACCUGGUGGUCCCUGCACAGCCGUCCCUUGCCUGUGGGCUGACACAGCCAUGUGGUGCAGCUGGUCUCUCUCUUCCAGCCCUGCACCGGGG